UGGGGAAUAUUGCACAAUGGAGGGAACUCUGAUGCAGCGACGCCGCGUGAGUGAUGAAGGAAUUCGUUUCGUAAAACUCUGUUCUAUGGGAAGAAAAGGACUGUACCAUAGGAGAAAGCUCCGGCUAAAUACGUGCCAGCAGCCGCGGUAAUACGUAUGGAGCGAGCGUUGUCCGGAAUUAUUGGGCGUAAAGGGUGCGCAGGCGGCUUUACAAGUUGGAUGUGAAAUAUUGUGGCUCAACCACAAACGUGCAUCCAAAACUGCAAAGCUUGAGUUAAGGGGAGGUAAGUGGAAUUCCUGGUGUAGCGGUGGAAUUCGUAGAUAUCAGGAGGAAUACCGGUGGCGAAGGCGACUUACUGGACUUAAACUGACGCUCAGGCACGAAAGCGUGGGGAGCAAACAGG
rnacentral:rRNA from 1 species